rnacentral:lncRNA from 10 species
UAGAAAUGUGGUGUUCUUUUUUUGUUUUUUGUUUUUUUGUUUUUUUUGAGAUGGAGUCUCACUCUGUGACUAGUAAAACAAAAUUCUAAGAUGACAUCUGUAUAGCCUACAUAGGAAGCAACCAGUUCACAUUAUAGAAGGAAGAAUGAAUGUUCCAGAGACAAAAUAUAGUUACAAUACACCCUCAUCUAUUGUAGUAAAAAAAAAAAAAAGCUGAAGUCUAAAUUACACAAAUGUAGCAGCAUAAUACUAUUAAAUAAUAAGUAAUUUAAUAUUCUAU